UGCCACAGCCAUAUCACCGCGCAGCCCAAGACCGGUUACUCACUAAAGCUAAGCAGGGCUGAGCCUGGUCAGUACCUGGAUGGGAGACCACAUGGAAAAAAACAGGUUGCUCUUGGAA
rfam:Danio rerio chromosome 14, GRCz11 reference primary assembly.